rnacentral:lncRNA from 1 species
AUGCGCCUCCACCACCGCCACCACGACGAGCCGGAGGAGGAAGCCGCGGCGGAGGGCCUGAAGCGGUUCCACCACCACCUUCACAAGGAAGAGGAGGAGAAAGACAUGACGAGAAAGCGGUUCCGUCACGCCGAGCACGAUGACAGCGACAGCGACGACGAGGAUGAGGAGGUGGAGGAGAUGGUCCGGCGGUUCAGGAAGGCCAUCAUGCGGAGGAGGUUCGGCCACGGCCGCCGCUUCCACCACCACCACCACGGCUACGGCUACCGCCACGCCGAGGAGACCGAGAAGGCGGAUGCACAGGAUGAGGGCGGCGUGGUGGCGUGGAUCAAGGGCCUCAUCAACCGGUUCUAGAGCUGGUCCAUUUCCCCCGGC